GGCAGUGAUGCAUGGGCGCAGCCUGAUGCAGCCAUGCCGCGUGUGUGAAGAAGGCCUUCGGGUUGUAAAGCACUUUCAGUCGUGAGGAAGGGAGUGUAGUUAAUACCUGCAUUAUUUGACGUUAGCGACAGAAGAAGCACCGGCUAACUCCGUGCCAGCAGCCGCGGUAAUACGGAGGGUGCGAGCGUUAAUCGGAAUUACUGGGCGUAAAGCGCAUGCAGGUGGUUUGUUAAGUCAGAUGUGAAAGCCCGGGGCUCAACCUCGGAAUAGCAUUUGAAACUGGCAGACUAGAGUGCUGUAGAGGGGGGUAGAAUUUCAGGUGUAGCGGUGAAAUGCGUAGAGAUCUGAAGGAAUACCGGUGGCGAAGGCGGCCCCCUGGACAGAUACUGACACUCAUAUGCGAAAGCGUGGGGAGCAAACAGGAUUAGAUACCCUGGUAGUCCACGCCGUAAACGAUGUCUACUUGGAGGUUGUGGCCUUGAGCCGUGGCUUUCGGAGCUAACGCGUUAAGUAGACCGCCUGGGGAGUACGGUCGCAAGAUUAAAACUCAAAUGAAUUGACGGGGGCCCGCACAAGCGGUGGAGCAUGUGGUUUAAUUCGAUGCAACGCGAAGAACCUUACCUACUCUUGACAUCCAGAGAACUUUCCAAAGAUGGAUUGGUGCCUUCGGGAACUCUGACACAGGUGCUGCAUGGCUGUCGUCAGCUCGUGUUGUGAAAUGUUGGGUUAAGUCCCGCAACGAGCGCAACCCUUAUCCUUGUUUGCCAGCGAGUAAUGUCGGAAACUCCAGGGACACUGCCGGUGAAAACCGGAAAAGGUGGACACGACGUCAAGUCAUCAUGGCCCUUACGAGUAGGGCUACACACGUGCUACAAUGGCACAUACAGAGGGCGGCCAACUUGCGAAAGUGAGCGACUCUUAAAAAGUGCGUCAUAGUCCGGAUUGGAGUCUGCAACUCGACUCCAUGAAGUCGGAUCGCUAGAAAUCGUGUAUCAAAAUGCCCCGGUGAAUACGUUCCGGGCCUGUGUACACCCGCCCGUCACCCCAUGGAGAGUGGUCUGUCAAAGAGUAAGAAGUUUAACUCUCGGAGGAACGCUAACACUAUGUAGUUUAUGACGGGGGGGGAGUACAACAGGGGGCCCAC
rnacentral:rRNA from 1 species